GCUGCAACUGCAGUUGAGCGAUGCGGUUUGGUGCUUGCACUAAACCAAAGAGCAGCGAACGGGUCAGUAACGCGUGGGAAAUCUGCCUUUGAGCGGGGGACAACAUUUGGAAACGAAUGCUAAUACCGCAUAACAGCUAGGGACACAUGUUCUAAGCUUGAAAGAAACAACUGUUUCACUCAAAGAUGAUCCCGCGUUGUAUUAGCUAGUUGGUGAGGUAAAGGCUCACCAAGGCGAUGAUACAUAGCCGACCUGAGAGGGUGAUCGGCCACAUUGGGACUGAGACACGGCCCAAACUCCUACGGGAGGCAGCAGUAGGGAAUCUUCGGCAAUGGACGAAAGUCUGACCGAGCAACGCCGCGUGAGUGAAGAAGGUUUUCGGAUCGUAAAACUCUGUUGUGAGAGAAGAACGACGAGGAGAGUGGAAAGCUCCUCGUGUGACGGUAUCUCACCAGAAAGGGACGGCUAACUACGUGCCAGCAGCCGCGGUAAUACGUAGGUCCCGAGCGUUGUCCGGAUUUAUUGGGCGUAAAGCGAGCGCAGGUGGUUUAUUAAGUCUGGUGUAAAAGGCAGUGGCUCAACCAUUGUAUGCAUUGGAAACUGGUAGACUUGAGUGCAGGAGAGGAGAGUGGAAUUCCAUGUGUAGCGGUGAAAUGCGUAGAUAUAUGGAGGAACACCGGUGGCGAAAGCGGCUCUCUGGCCUGUAACUGACACUGAAGCUCGAAAGCGUGGGGAGCAAACAGGAUUAGAUACCCUGGUAGUCCACGCCGUAAACGAUGAGUGCUAGAUGUAGGGAGCUAUAAGUUCUCUGUAUCGCAACUAAAGCAAUAAGCACUCCCGCCUGGGGAGUACCACCGCCAGGUUGAAA
rnacentral:rRNA from 1 species